CUGAGGCAGGGGGUGAAAGGCCUAGCGAUCAGUGUAGUGAAUGAAUGAUGGGGUUUGAGAAGAUGAAACCUGGUUAUCAAAGAAAAGAUAAUGGGUUGCUAACAUAACCUCCAAUCACACUUUCCAGCUCAAGGGGUUGCUAACACCUCUGAGGAAUCAUACUUCCCCAAACAAGCUAUUACCCCUGAGCUGCUCCUUCCUGCCCUUAGGUACAAACUCUGAGAAGAAAGAGAAGAUGGGAUGGGUGGUAUAAAAGAGCAAGACACACCCUCUCCGUAGGGGAACCCAGCUCUGGGUCCCACUUCUUUCCAGAGAAGUCUGUCUCUGUCCUUUCUUAAACUUGCUUUCUAUGCUUACCUCUACACUGGGGAAAAGAGGACCUGUCCCUGAUCUCCAAGACCUAUAUCAGCUUGAGCAGAGUCCAAGCAGGGAGCCUGUGUCAGGACUGGAAUUUUCUACCUGCUGAUCAAGGAACUAAACUGGAGUCCUGAAGCACAGCUGAGGGGGAUAGAAUUGUCUCCUGCUCCAUACCUUUUCCAUUUUUCCUGCCCCCUUGGUUUUCACCUGCAUCCUUUUGCCUGUUACCUUUGUUCACUUCUCAUUUUUAGCAGUCAAGGGUCUGGAAAGACCACCAAGGGUGUGAGUUUGUAUGUAAGCUUCAUGGCAUUUGCAAGUCCUGCUGUCUCUUAGAAGAUUCUGUUUUCUUCCCUUAGAUUAGGGGAAUUCAGGGAGGGGGAAAGGUCUUCUAAAGGUUAUAGAUACCAACAUAUGAAUCCGGAAGACCCUGACCUUUGUGCUCUGCAUGGCCCAAGCAACCUGUUGGGUCAAAGCCCCCUGGGUCGGGCAGAAACCAGCACCGUGCGUGGUCACAGGCAGGCUGGACGGAAUACUGCUGGAACCUUGCUGAAGGACAGCCAGGCAGGAAGUAGGAUUCUGCUUUAUUGAAUUUUGUCAUUUAUCUUUUCAUUAACUCUGCUUUAAAAAUGUUGCAUGAAGAUAUUAUUUAAUUAUUAGUCUUUUAACAUGCCUUUAAAUGUUGCUCCUAGCCACUCCCUGACCUCCUCUCCUAGGGCUUUGGGUCCCCUGGGUCCCCUGCGGCUAUGGAAUUGUGGCUGAUAGCAGAAACUCCCUUUCCCACUGCCACUUCCACCCCAUUUACCGGUGCCAGGCGGCGAUGGAGGGGAGGUUUCCGGGGACUGCCCAGCUUGGGCUGCGCAGGCCCAGAGACCCGCAACGGGGUGGGUCCCGGCCAGCGCGCCCUGCAGUGUGACCUGACGCCCUCUAGCGGGCACUUGGACGCAGCCUGGAAGCCACCCACCCGGUGGGUGGGGGUUUGUGGGAGUGGCCACCCGACACCAGGUGGGAGGGCUUCUAAGGCCUGGGGAUGAGCCAAUGCUGUGGUCGUGUCGUGUCCAUUCCCCGCGUAUUCCCCUUCAACCUCCCCUCCUGUGGACGCGCUGGGCCAACCCGGCCAGCAGGCAGACGAUUCCAGAGAAGAGGAUAGAAAGGGAGAAGGUGGAAUCUGUGAAGCCCACUCGGAGAGUUUGGAAGGGAAGACACACUCAUUUUACUUAAAUCUUCGACUCCAGACACGCUGAGGGGGCUGGAGGGGGCCCCCUGCCUCAUCCCACCCUAACCAUGUUUGUGAAAUGUAACCCUUCAUUGGCUUGCCUCCAUCCUUCUAUUUACCCAGUCUCAAUUCAUGCUUGGUGGUCCUGCCCAAUACAGUCUUCUUCCUGGGUUAUGGAGAGAGGGUGUGGACAGUCAGGACCCUUUCCCCUCUCCUGGAAAUGUCUGGCAGAAGAGACCACAGGGAGGGGCAUAGGACAGUAGGCUGAGCAGCAGGGGGUUCUGGGAUGUACUGGCCCUAAAGUUCACUGUGUUGGGGCUGAGACCCAGGGCUGAUGCCUUGCUAGGAGCAUCUCCAUCUGGUGCCCAGGCCAUCUGAGAGCUGAAGGGGUGAUGUAGCAAAGAGAGAAGCUGGAGAGAGAGCUUGCUCCUCACAGUCGUCAGUGGCAGGAGGACAGAGGAGAAUCUGACAAUAGAAGUGACACUGAGGGGUGUGCAUGGGACUGAAAUAGAAUAGAACCUGCAAGAAGGGAGGUUUCUCACCCUUAGUGGGGGGGGGGGCAGAGAGUGUGUGUCCAGAUAAGCACUCCUGUCUCAUUCCAUGCUUCAUGCUGCUCUGUGGUGCUGUCUCCCUAAGAACUCCUUCAACGGCAAGUAACUGAAUUGUGAAUUUUACCUAAUAAGAAUUCAGGUCACUGGUUGCAGGGUUGGUGCUGUGGUUCAAUGUGGACAUCAAGUAGUCAAGUUCUGUCUAUGCUUCUGCUUUUCCAUCUUUAGGGUGUUAGUGAAGACUCUUCUCAUGGUCACACAAUGACUGCUGCAUCUCCCGACUUAGCAUUCUCAUAGGGAAAAAAAACACCCCACAGUCUGCCACAAAAGGUUUUGGUGCACACAGGAACAGAUUGAAAACACCAGCUUUCACAGCUUGGCAAUGAAUAAAGACAACAUUAAUAAUGACUGCCAUAUUCUGCCUCUAAACUGAUGGGAGUAGUGUUUUGCAUGCAUUAUUUUCUUUACUUCUCACAAUCUGCGCCAUUUCACAAUGACAACCGAGGUUCAGAGUGGUCAAGUAACUCAUUUUACUUUAUAGUCAGGAAAUGAAGGAGCUGGAAUUCAAACUCCAGUCUGUGUGACUCCAGGUCUGGCUUUUUGUUUGUCUUCUCAAAAAUCAAAGUGUGCAAUUUGCGAUAAGAGUUUAAAAUAGUACUGACCUUGGCCUUUUGUUUUUAAACAUUGUGCAUGUUCAAGAUAAGAAUUUCAAAUAGCAUGAAGUUUAAAGUGAAGAUCUGGCCAUCUCUCUCCUUUAAAAUUCCCACAGUCCUCCUCUGGCAGAUAAUUUCUAUAGGUCCUUCAGCAAACUCUUUUUGUAACCUGCUCAGACCACAAAUAUUUUUAUGUAACCAAGAUUCCACUUAGUUACUGUGCUGCACUUAUGUUUUAAAUUAAUAUACCUUGAAGAUAAUGUUAUAUGUAGAUUCUCUCUCUUUCUUUCUAAUGGGUAGUCCUCUUCUGCUGGACUCUCUCUCUAUAUAUUUUCAAAAUUAAUACUUUGAAAACCAGAUGUAGAUUAAUGAAAUAUUGAGCAGAUAGUAGAGAGAAUACUCAUAUACUUUCUCAUUCUCACCCUGAUUUUUUUAUUAAUAAUCUUGGUAUAUGUGGUACAUUUGCUGCAAUUAAUGAGCCAAUAUUGUUUUGAUAAAUCCAUCAUGUCUUCUAUGUAUUAUGGUAUAAUACAGAAUAGUUUCACCACACUAAAAAUUCCCUGUGUUCCAUCUCUUCAUCCCUCCUGUCUUCUCCUAACUUCUUGGCAACCUCUGAUCUUUUUUUUUUUUUUUCACUCACUCUAUAGUUCUGCUUUUCCCCAGAAAGUCAUAUAGUUGAAAUCAUGGAGCAUGAAGCCUUUUCAGACUGGUUUCUUUCAUCUAGCAAUAUGGAUUUAAGCUCCCUCUGUGUCUUUUCCUGUCUUGAUAGCUCCUGUCUUUUUAUUGAAUACUAUUCGAUUGUAUGGAUGCACCAGAGUUUAUCUGUUAAGACGCUGAAGAGCAUCUUGGUUCCUUCUGGAUUCGGGAUAUUAUGAAUAAAGCUGCUAUGAACAUUUGUGUGUAGGUUUUCUUAUGGACUUAAGUUUAGCUCAGUUGGGUAAAUAUCUAGGAGUACAAUGCUAGAUUGUAUGGUAAGACUAGGUUUAAGCUUGUAAGAGACUGCCAAAACUCAAAGCUGUCUCUUAAAGUAGCUGCACAAUCUUACAUUUCCACUAGCAACGAAUGAAAGUUUUUAUUUAACACAUUUUGGGGCUAUUAAAAAAACCAUGGAAAAAGAAAUAUAUGUAUGUAUAUUUUUAUGUAUAUGCAUGGGGAAUAUUUGUAGGAUACUUUUUUCUUCAGGUGAUAUGUGUAAAAUGUCUAUGAUAUUAGCAAAUUACUUCCAAAGAUGAUUGUGCCAACAAUAAAUGAAAGUAUUUAUCUUCUUACACCCACACAAACAUUUGAAUAUUAGAAAAUUUAAAUAUUUUGGCUAAUUUGAUAAAUAAAAUAACGAUAUCUUCUUAGCUAUUUUUAUUUCCAAUGCCUUCACUCUGAGUUAUAUGGUGUAGAAUUUCUGUUAAGAAUCCCUCCUCUGGUUACUCUCAAACUAUGCAGUAUGGUUUGGAUCUUGAAUGUUCUUCAAAUGCUCAAGUGUUGAAGGCUUGUAUAUAGGUUUAUGGAAUUAUUGGGAGGAAGAGGUGGAGCCUAUGGGAAGAAGUUAGGUCAUGGGGGCAUGUAUUUAAAGGGGAUUAUUAGAAAACUGGUCUCUCAUUUUUACCUCUUUUCUUCUAAGCUGCCAUGAGUUGAACAGGCUUCCUCUG
rnacentral:lncRNA from 1 species